rnacentral:rRNA from 1 species
UACGGAGGGAGCUAGCGUUGUUCGGAUAUACUGGGCGUAAAGCGCACGUAGGCGGCGCAGCAAGUCAGGGGUGAAAUCCCGGAGCUCAACUCCGGAACUGCCUUUGAAACUGCAGUGCUAGAAUCCUGGAGAGGCGAGUGGAAUUCCGAGUGUAGAGGUGAAAUUCGUAGAUAUUCGGAAGAACACCAGUGGCGAAGGCGACUCGCUGGACAGGUAUUGACGCUGAGGCACGAAGGCCAGGGGAGCAAACGGG